GACGAACGCUGGCGGCGUGCCUAAUACAUGCAAGUCGAGCGAAGUUUUUCUGGUGCUUGCACCGGAAAAACUUAGCGGCGAACGGGUGGGUAACACGUAAAGAACCUGCCUCAUAGACUGGGACAACUAUUGGAAACGAUAGCUAAUACCGGAUAACAGCAUUAACUGCAUGGUUGAUGUUUAAAAGUUGGUUUUGCUAACACUAUGAGAUGGCUUUGCGGUGCAUUAGCUAGUUGGUGGGGUAAAGGCCUACCAAGGCGACGAUGCAUAGCCGACCUGAGAGGGUGAUCGGCCACACUGGGACUGAGACACGGCCCAGACUCCUACGGGAGGCAGCAGUAGGGAAUCUUCCGCAAUGGGCGAAAGCCUGACGGAGCAACGCCGCGUGAGUGAAGAAGGAUUUCGGUUCGUAAAGCUCUGUUGUUAGGGAAGAAUGAUUGUGUAGUAACUAUACACAGUAGAGACGGUACCUAACCAGAAAGCCACGGCUAACUACGUG
rnacentral:rRNA from 1 species